rnacentral:rRNA from 1 species
CUCGCUUAAUUUGUUCCCAAGUAGCGCGGGACACGAGAAAUCUUGUGUGAAUCUGCCGGGACCAUCCGGUAAGGCUAAAUACUCCCAUGUGACCGAUAGUGAACUAGUACCGUGAGGGAAAGGUGAAAAGUACUCCUAGCGGAGAGUGAAAUAGAACCUGAAACCGUAUACCUACAAGCGGUCGGAGCUCCAUUUAGGUGGGGUGACGGCGUGCCUUUUGCAUAAUGAGCCAGCGAGUUGCUCGUACGUCGCAAGGUUAAGAAUGGACAUUCGGAGCCGAAGCGAAAGCAAGUCUGAACAGGGCGUUCAGUGGCGUGCGGCAGACCCGAAACUGAGUGAUCUAGCCAUGACCAGGAUGAAGUCCCGGUAACACGGGAUGGAGGUCCGAACCCACUUCGGUUGAAAACGGAGGGGAUGAGUUGUGGUUAGGGGUGAAAGGCCAAUCAAACUCAGAGAUAUCUGGUUCUCGCCGAAAUGCGUUUAGGCGCAGCGUUGUAUUAGUGUACCGGGGGUAGAGCACUGAAUGGGCUAGGGGGCCUACAAGCUUACCAACCCCAAUCAAACUCCGAAUACCGGAUACAUGAUGUACAGCAGUGAGGCUGCGGGCGAUAAGGUUCGUAGCCGAGAGGGAAACAACCCAGAUCAACAGCUAAGGUCCCAAAGUCAAUGCUAAGUGAAAAAGGAUGUCAAAUCGCCCAGACAGCUAGGAGGUUGGCUUAGAAGCAGCCAUCCUUUAAAGAAAGCGUAACAGCUCACUAGUCGAGGGGUUUUGCGCCGAUAAUAUCCGGGACUAUAAGCAUUGCACCGAAGCUUUGAACUCAAUUUAUUGAGUGGUAGGCGAGCGUUCCAUCCACCGCUGAAGGUUGACCCGUGAGGGCAGCUGGAGGAAAUGGAAAUGAGUAUGCUGGCAUGAGUAGCGUUAAACAUAGUGAAAUUCUAUGUCACCGUAAGCCCAAGGUUUCCUGAGUAAAGUAACUCUGCUCAGGGUUAGUCGGACCCUAAGCCGAGGCCGAAAGGCGUAGGCGAUGGAAAACGGGUAAAAUAUUCCCGUACCAGCGAUUAAUUGUUUGACCUAAGGGGGGACGCAGGAGUGAAAGAUCAGCACGGUAUUGAAUGUCCGUGUCUAAACAAGUAGGGUGAUCCGGUAGGCAAAUCCGCCGGGUCUUAUAGCCUGAGAUGUGAAUGGGAAGCGCGCCUUCGGGCAAGCCAACUGACCCUAAUCCUACUGCCAAGAAAAUCCUCUAUGUUAGGUUAAUAGCUGACCGUACCGUAAACGGACACACGUGGGCGAGGAGAGUAUCCUAAGGUGCUUGGGAGAAUCAUGGUUAAGGAACUCGGCAAAAUGGCCCCGUAACUUCGGGAGAAGGGGUGCCCUUAUUAGGUAGAGAUCUUCGCGAUCCGAGCUGAACAGGGCCGCAGUGAAGAGGCCCAAUCGACUGUUUAUCAAAAACACAGGUCUAUGCUAAGUCGUAAGACGAAAUAUAUGGACUGACACCUGCCCGGUGCCGGAAGGUUAAAUGGAGAGGUUAGCUUUCGAGCGAAGCUUUGAAAUGAAGCCCCGGUAAACGGCGGCCGUAACUAUAACGGUCCUAAGGUAGCGAAAUUCCUUGUCGGGUAAGUUCCGACCUGCACGAAUGGUGUAACGAUUUGAGCACUGUCUCAACCAUGACCUCAGCGAAAUUGAAGUGUCGGUGAAGAUGCCGGCUACCCGCAGCAGGACGAAAAGACCCCGUG